CGGUGGUAACUAUAACCAUCCUAAGGUAGCGAAAUUCCUUGUCGGGUAAGUUCCGACCUGCACGAAUGGCGUAACGACUUCCCAGCUGUCUCAACCGCGAACUCGGCGAAAUUGCAUUACGAGUAAAGAUGCUCGUUACGCGCAGCAGGACGGAAAGACCCCGUGACCUUUACUACAGCUUGGUAUUGGUGUUCGGUGUGGCUUGUGUAGGAUAGGUGGGAGACUGUGAAGCUUGGACGCUAGUUCAGGUGGAGUCAUUGUUGAAAUACCACUCUGGUCAUAUUGGAUACCUAACUUCGAACCGUGAUCCGGUUCAGGGACAGUGCCUGGUGGGUAGUUUAACUGGGGCGGUUGCCUCCUAAAAAGUAACGGAGGCGCCCAAAGGUUCCCUCAACCUGGUUGGUAAUCAGGUGUCGAGUGUAAGUGCACAAGGGAGCUUGACUGUAAGACUGACAAGUCGAGCAGGGACGAAAGUCGGGACUAGUGAUCCGGCAGUGGCUUGUGGAAGCGCUGUCGCUCAACGGAUAAAAGGUACCUCGGGGAUAACAGGCUGAUCUUGCCCAAGAGUCCAUAUCGACGGCAUGGUUUGGCACCUCGAUGUCGGCUCGUCGCAUCCUGGGGCUGGAGUAGGUCCCAAGGGUUGGGCUGUUCGCCCAUUAAAGCGGUACGCGAGCUGGGUUUAGAACGUCGUGAGACAGUUCGGUCCCUAUCCGCUGCGCGCGCAGGAAAUUUGAGAAGAUCUAUCCCUAGUACGAGAGGACCGGGAUGGACGAACCUCUGGUGUGUCAGUUGUUCCGCCAGGAGCACCGCUGAUUAGCUACGUUCGGAACGGAUAACCGCUGAAAGCAUCUAAGCGGGAAGCCGGCUUCGAGAUGAGAUUUCCAUCCCUUCGGGGGAGAGGCUCGCAGCUAGACUACUGCGUUGAUAGGCCGGAUGUGGAAGUGGGGACUAAAGACCCAUGGAGCUGACCGGUACUAAUAAGCCGAUAAUUUGAUAAC
rnacentral:rRNA from 1 species